UGCCAGCCGCCGCGGUAAUACGGAAGGUGCGAGCGUUAAUCGGAAUUACUGGGCGUAAAGCGCACGUAGGUGGCUUGGUAAGUCGGAUGUGAAAGCCCUGGGCUCAACCUGGGAAUUGCAUUCGAUACUGCUUAGCUAGAGUAUGAGAGAGGGUAGUGGAAUUCCGGGUGUAGCGGUGAAAUGCGUAGAUAUCCGGAGGAACAUCAGUGGCGAAGGCGACCUCCUGGACUGAUAUUGACGCUGAGGUGCGAAAGCGUGGGGAGCAAACAGGAUUAGAUA
rnacentral:rRNA from 1 species